UACGUGUUCUAGAGAGAGGGAGAAAGGGAAGAACACCUUCAAGAACAAAAACUCAAAAUUCAGCAAAUUAGAAAGGAAAUUGAUGGUUAAUCUCUUGCAUGAGCCCUAAUUCAUGAUCAUCUAAGCUCGUUUAACAAGUGGUGUGAAGGAAGAAGGUUCAAGCAACAAGAAACCUUAAGGCUUGCAAAAUCGAGGUAAAUCUCAUCCUUAAUAAUGGCGAGCCUGGAUCGAACACACUACAACUCAUGCCCAAAAAUGCGCUUCCGUAUAAGUUUUUGUGUCAAAUGGGUCAAAACUCUCUUUUGGUUUAUGAGAUGUUCCUUUGUAUUUAAGGUCUUUUGUAAAUAGAUUAGUUGAUGGUCAUGGUUAGUUAAAUUUGAGCAAAUGUAGUUUAAAAAGUUAUGAUAGUCGUAAUGUCAUAGUUAGCCGUACGGGGUAUUUUGAUGAAAUCGUAUGUGUCAAAAUGAAAGUUUUAAAUUUUUGACAUUUUUACAUGUCGUUUUGACCGUAUGUAAAAGUGGGUGUAAA